rnacentral:SRP_RNA from 1 species
GCAGGGCAUGGUGGUGCGCGCCUGUAAUCCCAGCUACUCAGGAGCCUGAGAUGGGAGGAUUGCUUGAGCCCAGGAGGUAGAGGCUGCAGUGAGCCGAGAUUGCGCCACUGCACUCCAGCCUGGGCAACAGAGCAAGAUCCCGUCUCAA